UGGCAAUGAUGUUUGAAUUUCUUCACCUGAUGAACUGUGAUGGUAUUUGAGCUUUUUAACCCUGAGCAAU